rnacentral:rRNA from 1 species
UACGUAGGCAGCGAGCGUUGUUCGGAGUUACUGGGCGUAAAGGGUGCGUAGGCGGUCGGGUAAGUCUGAUGUGAAAUCUUCAAGCUUAACUUGGAAACUGCAUCGGAUACUAUUCGGCUAGAGGAAUGGAGGGGAGACUGGAAUACUUGGUGUAGCAGUGAAAUGCGUAGAUAUCAAGUGGAACACCAGUGGCGAAGGCGAGUCUCUGGACAUUUCCUGACGCUGAGGCACGAAAGCCAGGGGAGCAAACGGG